GAAUGCUGACAUAAGUAACGAUAAAGCGGGUGAAAAGCCCGCUCGCCGGAAGACCAAGGGUUCCUGUCCAACGUUAAUCGGGGCAGGGUGAGUCGACCCCUAAGGCGAGGCCGAAAGGCGUAGUCGAUGGGAAACAGGUUAAUAUUCCUGUACUUGGUGUUACUGCGAAGGGGGGACGGAGAAGGCUAUGUUGGCCGGGCGACGGUUGUCCCGGUUUAAGCGUGUAGGCUGGUUUUCCAGGCAAAUCCGGAAAAUCAAGGCUGAGGCGUGAUGACGAGGCACUACGGUGCUGAAGCGACAAAUGCCCUGCUUCCAGGAAAAGCCUCUAAGCAUCAGGUAACAUCAAAUCGUACCCCAAACCGACACAGGUGGUCAGGUAGAGAAUACCAAGGCGCUUGAGAGAACUCGGGUGAAGGAACUAGGCAAAAUGGUGCCGUAACUUCGGGAGAAGGCACGCUGAUAUGUAGGUGAAGCGACUUGCUCGUGGAGCUGAAAUCAGUCGAAGAUACCAGCUGGCUGCAACUGUUUAUUAAAAACACAGCACUGUGCAAACACGAAAGUGGACGUAUACGGUGUGACGCCUGCCCGGUGCCGGAAGGUUAAUUGAUGGGGUUAGCGGUAACGCGAAGCUCUUGAUCGAAGCCCCGGUAAACGGCGGCCGUAACUAUAACGGUCCUAAGGUAGCGAAAUUCCUUGUCGGGUAAGUUCCGACCUGCACGAAUGGCGUAAUGAUGGCCAGGCUGUCUCCACCCGAGACUCAGUGAAAUUGAACUCGCUGUGAAGAUGCAGUGUACCCGCGGCAAGACGGAAAGACCCCGUGAACCUUUACUAUAGCUUGACACUGAACAUUGAGCCUUGAUGUGUAGGAUAGGUGGGAGGCUUUGAAGUGUGGACGCCAGUCUGCAUGGAGCCGACCUUGAAAUACCACCCUUUAAUGUUUGAUGUUCUAACGUGGGCCCCUUACCGGGGUUGCGGACAGUGUCUGGUGGGUAGUUUGACUGGGGCGGUCUCCUCCUAAAGAGUAACGGAGGAGCACGAAGGUUGGCUAAUCCUGGUCGGACAUCAGGAGGUUAGUGCAAUGGCAUAAGCCAGCUUGACUGCGAGCGUGACGGCGCGAGCAGGUGCGAAAGCAGGUCAUAGUGAUCCGGUGGUUCUGAAUGGAAGGGCCAUCGCUCAACGGAUAAAAGGUACUCCGGGGAUAACAGGCUGAUACCGCCCAAGAGUUCAUAUCGACGGCGGUGUUUGGCACCUCGAUGUCGGCUCAUCACAUCCUGGGGCUGAAGUAGGUCCCAAGGGUAUGGCUGUUCGCCAUUUAAAGUGGUACGCGAGCUGGGUUUAGAACGUCGUGAGACAGUUCGGUCCCUAUCUGCCGUGGGCGCUGGAGAACUGAGGGGGGCUGCUCCUAGUACGAGAGGACCGGAGUGGACGCAUCACUGGUGUUCGGGUUGUCAUGCCAAUGGCACUGCCCGGUAGCUAAAUGCGGAAGAGAUAAGUGCUGAAAGCAUCUAAGCACGAAACUUGCCCCGAGAUGAGUU
rnacentral:rRNA from 1 species